AUGGAGCUUUAGACACCAAAGCAGAUCACGUUAACACCCCCUCAAUACAGGAUUAAACUAAAUGAAGCCUGCCCGAAUGUCUUUGGUUGGGGCGACCGCGGGGCAUUAAAAAACCCCCACGUGGAAUGGGAGCACCACCCUCCUACAGCCAAGAGCCACAGCUCUAGGCAACAGAAUAUCUGACCAGCAAGAUCCGGCAAUGCCGAUCAACGGACCG
rnacentral:rRNA from 1 species